rnacentral:lncRNA from 1 species
CCGCAAUGAGUCCCAAAAGCGAGCCCAAGUUUUAGGAGGCCCAUUUCGUUCUAAACCCAUGAGCACCGCUUCUCCCCUGUCCAGCCCAGUUGGGAAAAGCCCAACCUACACUGGUUUAUAUGCAAAAGGGGCCACACAGGCUACGCACUUUGGCCAGCAGGUAGCGCCCAAACCCAUGGUCGCGAUUCAGCGGCCAGCGGUGGCCGCCAAGGCCGCGCCACCCUUCCAACGGCUUACCGAUGUUGAGCUGCAGUCGAAGAAAGAAAGGGGUUUAUGUUAUCACUGUGAUGAGAGGUUCUAUCCGGGUCACAAAUGUAAGAACAGGGAAUUGCAGGUGCUCUUUAUGCAAGAGGAGGAAAUUGAAGAACCAGUGGUGAUGGUCGAGGAAGAGUAAGAACAGCCGAUGGGGGAUACAAUGGAAUUAUCCAUUAAAUCUGUGGUCGGGCUGACAGCACCAAAAACCAUGAAGUUUUGUGGGGCGAUAUGUGGGAAAUCAGUGGUGGUACUCAUCGAUUGUGGGGCUACUCACAACUUCAUCUCGAGUGAGCUCGUUAAGGAUUUGGGUUUGCAAAUCACAGAGUUCGCCAACUACGGGGUUCUAAUGGGAACUGGGUUAUCUAUGAAAAGAGGGGAAAUUUGUAAGGGAGUAGUUGUUUCGCUGCCAAAUAUUGAUGUGGUUGAGGAUUUUUUGCCCCUGAAAUUAGGGUAUACAGGUGUAAAUCCUGGGAAUGAAGUGGUUGGAGACGUUGGGCAAGAUCCAAGUUAACUGGGGCACCUUAACCAUGCGUUUUAAAACGGGUGGAGGAGCUGUGUUGCUACAGGACGACCCCAGUUUGGAUAAGACACAAGUGUCUUUGAAGUCACUUGUUAAGUCUUUUAAGGAUGGGGAGCAAGGUAUCUUGCUGGAAUUGUGGAGUAUGGGGGUUGAGUCGGAGGAGACCAGGGCUGAGGUACACAGCUCUAUUAAAGAGUUGUUGCAACAUUACCGCAAGGUCUUUGACUGGCCUAACAAACUUCCACCGCCGCGAACAAGGGACCAUACAUUCUCUUACAACCCGGUGCAACUCCAGUGAACGUAAGGCCCUACCGGUACUUGUUUGUUUAGAAAAAUGAAAUUGAAAAGUUAUUUAAGGAGAUGCUGCAGGAAUCAUACAACCAAGUCUCAGUCCCUUCUUGAGCUCGGUUCUGUUGGUGAAGAAAAAAGAUGGUAGUUGGAGGUUUUGUGUCGACUAUCGAGCGCUUAACAAAGUUACGGUACCUGGCCAUUUUUCGAUCCCAGUAAUCGAUGAAUUAUUAGAUGAAUUACAUAGGGCUCGUGUAUUCUCCAAGUUAGACAUGAAGUCGGUCUACCACCAAAUCAGAUUGAGGCCGGAGGACAUCCCUAAGACUGCUUUCCGUACUCACGAGGGCCAUUAUGAAUUCUUGGUUAUGCCCUUCAGGUUAUCAAACGCACCGGCAACUUUUCAACAUCUAAUGAAUGAGGUGUUUCAGCCUUACUUGCGGAAGUUUGUCCUUGUCUUCUUUGACGGCAUUUUGGUCUACAGUUGAUUAAUUGAGGAGCACUACCAACACUUGGAGACAAUGAUGGAGGUUUUGUAGCAGCAUCAACUGUAUGCUGUUUGUUUGGACGACAAGAGGUGGAAUAUCCGGGCCAUGUGAUCUCUGAGACGAGGGUGGCAGCUGAUCAGUCAAAAUUAGAGGCAAUGGUUAAUUGGCCAAGCCCCAGUAACCUUAGGGAGCUUCGAGGAUUUUUGGGACUCACGGGCUAUUACAGGAGGUUUGUGGCAUGUUACGCUAAGUUGGCCUGGACCUUAACGGAGCUGCUCAAGAAGGACCGUUUCAGGUGCGAUGAUGAAAUAGAGGCAACUUUUCAGGUUCUUAAAUCAGCUAUGGUCUGUGUUCCAGUGCUGGCGUUACCAGAUUUCUCUAAGCAGUCAGUUGUUGAGACCGAUGCGUCUGGUCAGGGAUUAGGGGUAGUGUUGAUGCAGAACAGCCACCCCAUUGCAUAUUUCAGCAGGGUUCUACCUCAGAGCGCCAGGCAAAAGUCAGUUUACGAGAGAGAGUUGAUGGCAAUUGUGUUCGCUAUCCAAAGAUGGCGACAUUAUUUGUUAGGCAGGCGUUUUGUAGUCAGGACAGAUCAGCGGAGCGUGAAGUUUUUACUGGAACAACGUCUGGUGAGUGAAGAUCACCAAAAAUGGCUCACUAAACUUAUGGGUUACCAAUUUGACAUCCAUUACCACCCGGGACUGAAGAACAAGGCUGCGGAUGCUCUCUCUCGAUUGCAACCGUCAUUGAAUGCUAUGGCUUUAACAACUUCUAAGUUCCUUCAGUUGGAGGAGAUUAGGAAAGAGGUAGCAGCUGAUGGUGUGUUGGGAAAAUUAGUAACAGAGCUAUAGGCUGGCCACAAUUCGAAGGCGGGUUAUGCGUUGAUCAAUAACACUUUAUGUUAUCAUAGAAAGGUAGUGCUGCCCAGCCAAUCAGUUUUCGUCACCCUCAUGUUGCAGGAGUGCCACAAUUCUAAAGUUGGGGGACAUUCUAGUUUUCUCAAGACAUACAAACGAGUUGCCAGAGAAGUCUACUGGCAGGGAAUGAAAAAGAAGGUGAAGAAUUACGUGGCGAAAUGUGGAGUCUGUCAAUAGAAUAAAUAUGUUGCACUAUCUCUAGGGGGUGUCUUGCAGCCCUUGCCGAUCCCUGAGUUGAUUUGGCAGGACAUUUCAAUGGACUUCAUUGAGGGACUGUCGCGGUCGGGCGGAGUCGAUGCGAUUUUGGUUGUUGUGGACCGUCUGAGCAAAUACGGGCAUUUUGUAGGCCUGAAGCACCCUUUUACUGCCCCUACAGUUGCCGCGGUGUUUAUUCACGAGGUAGUUCGGCUACACGAUAUGCCUCACUCUAUUGUUUCAGAUAGGGAUCGAAUCUUUAUGAGUACUUUCUGGACCGCUCUUUUCAAGGCUCAGGAAACCGCCCUAAAGCAUAGUACUGCCUAUCAUCCUCAAACUGAUAGACAAACGGAGGUCGUCAACAGGUGUUUGGAAAUGUAUUUGCGCUGUUUUGCAUCAAGUAGACCACGUGUUUGGAGCUAAUAUUUACAUUGGGCCGAGUUUUGGUAUAAUACCUCUUUCCACACCGCAACUAAGCACACCCCUUUCCAGAUUGUGUAUUGUCGUGAGCCGCCCCAGAUUCUGGCCUUUGAGAAAGGCAUGAUAGCUAGCUCCUCUGUCGAAUAGCUAUUGCUUGACCGAGAUGAAGUUCUGAAGGAGCUGAAGGUGCAGCUCUCUAGGGCUCAGCUGAGGAUGAAGGAGAUUGCAAAUGAAUACCGCCGCGACGUUCAGUUUGCUGUUGGGGACUUAGUCUACCUCAAGCCCUGUCCAUAGCGCCAGAAGUCUGUGGCUAAGCGAUCAUUUGAGAAGCUAUCCCCGAGGUACUAUGGACCGUUUGAAGUGGAAUCAAAGAUCGGCCAGGUCGCAUACAAACUGAAACUUCCUCCAACUGCAGCCAUCCAUCCAGUUUUUCAUGUAUCUCAACUUCGUAAGGCCAUAGGCAUCCUGCAACCGGUUUCAUCUCUUCCACCCCAACUGUCAGCAGAUGGAGAGUUCAUUCUAGAACCGGAAUCUGUUCUUGGCGUUCGCCCUAAUCCUACCAACCCAGCUGGGAGCCCUGACAUCUUAAUCAAGUGGACAAAUUUGCCAGAAUUUGAGGCAACUUGGGAGCCUUUUGACACUAUCAGACUACAAUUCCCUAGCUUCCACCUUGAGGAUAAUGUGGAUUUCGGGUCGGCAGGUAGUGAUAGACCCCCGGUUCGGUUCACCUAUGCAAGAAGGAAGAUGGUUUCGCCAGGUCAGCAGAAAUCAGUUAGAUAAGGGUAAAAAUGUAAUAGUGUUGGAGCAGGGAAAUGUAAAUAAAUUGAAGGGAAGGGUAGGAAUAAGGGAUAUACUGACUUUCUGUUAGAAUGGGGAGGGGGAGAGAGACAGGGCCACUGUAAUAGCCCUGAUCUUGUAAUCAUUUUGGGUUAUCUUCAAUCUAUUGGACGACACUUCUUUUGCAUCUAAGUUUUUGUUUACUUUCUUCCAGUUUGGUUCUCAGGUACCUAUCAGUAUGCUUGUCAGGUCAGGACGAUCUUUUCAAAUUAGUCAUACCCCUACUGCAGGAUCUUUCCCACGUCAGUGCUGAACAUCGUUGUGCCAGAGAGCCAUUGCUUGGUGAAGUUAGGUCAACACAAUCUGCACCUCCGAAGACAAAAACCAUGUUGUGUGUGGUGACUCUUGUUGCAUAUAGCUAAAAUUAGAAAUAGUCAAUAUUUCCAUCUAUCCUUUUCUUGGAUCUAGGUUUUGACUUUCUCAUACUUUAGGUUUCCUUAAUGACGUUCCUCAUUGGCGGUCUCAACCUGCAACAAGCAGAGACCAGUAGACAUAACAUGAUUUUUUUCAAAAUCCAACAAGUGGUGGAGUGUUGCAAGUACAGAGACAACUUUCAAAGGUGACGGAAAGGAUUAUGUAAUUUCUGUUUAUGAUGAUAAAAUUCUUUAGUUUAUGCAUACUAUAACUCAUCCUAUGAUUCAUUUUCGUUCCCUUUAGUUUUCCUGUUGUGGAUUCUUUAUUGACGUCGGUUUUCCUAUGUGGCCUUUUCUCUCUAAAGUGGUUUUUGUCAUGUAAUGUCUCAGAAUUGAGUUCAUUAUGAUUUAAUUUUUCUAGAGGUUUAGUCCAAACUUUAUAUAAUGCAAGGUUAAUCUGAUGGAGUAAAUAAUGCUAUGUUCAUUUGGAAGUUUCAUUCUUGCAGUGGUAAUGGUUCUUUAUAAUUUAGAAGCAUAAUGAAAUAAAGGCUGGCAUAUAUAAUUGCAGGUAACUGGAGAACAAGAGAAUUCGGUCACAAAGAGCAGCAAUAUUGGAUCAUUUCUUGGUUGGGGAACGACAGUUAUCUACUUGGGUGGACGUCUUCCACAGAUUUGCCUAAAUGUAAGCAUAGCAUUUGUGAUAGUUAUAACAUCAUUUCUGAGUUCAUGACUACCACGGUCGACAUCUAACAUAGUUGGUUUUGUGCAAUUUCUGCAGAUUAGAAGGGGAAUUGCCGAGGUCAGUUAUGAUAUAAGGACGAAAAAGGGAAAAUGUUACCUUUUUAAUGCAUGUUUUAAAUAUUUAACCAUUCUAACAACUAGCAAAACCCCAAUUAUAACAUCCCUUCUCUCCCACUUCACACCUCGGAACACACCGUUUUUAUAGAGAUAAACACACUUAACAAGCAUGAAACGCAUGCUUGCAUAUUCGUCCAUAGGUCGAAUCGGAUAUGUAUGGUCUUUCUGUCCAGGUGCAGGUAGUCUGCAUUUUCACAGACACGUCUAUUUCACCGAGCCUCUCUCCGAGACAGUGCUUAGAUCGUUAGAAAUCCGACUCUCUGAUAGAGUAAAAGAUACAGAAUUGAAUGAUUUUGAAUAUUGAUUUAUCAGUAAAAAGCUUUCUCCAACUUUUGAAUUGUCCAAACAAUAACUUUAUGUAAGAGUCGAAGCACCAAAAGAAGAAUUGGGAAUUUUUCUAAUAGGAGUUUAGAGUGGUUUUCCUUGGUGAUGGAAAAUUCGCUAAUAGCUUGACGCUAGUAUGAUAAAAAGCUUAACACCUCUCAUUCUUAUUCCUUUUUCACAUGCAUGAAAUUUGAAAUAAUGUUUGAUAUGUGUAUGUAAAUGGUGUUUUUGCAACAAUCGUAAUAAGUUGACGUGCAGGGACUGAAUCCUAUAAUGUUUGUCUUCGCUAUAUUGUUGGCAAUGCGACAUAUGCUGCAAGAUAAGAUAAUGCACUGCUGAAUUUUUCGUUUACCCUUCCAACAUUUGAUUUCUUUGAGAUUGUACAUUACUUAAUUUUAUUAUAUUCUCAAGUAACAAGUUCCAGACAAGAAUCUCCAUUUCCAUUUCAUAUUUAUUUUUGAUCUCGUGUUUUCUGUUCUGUGGUAUAUUUGUUAGCAGCUUAAAGGGUCGAAGAUAAGACCCAAUCUGCCAUGUGCUCCUUGAUACUUUUGUAUCCUUUAU